ACCGCAUGGUCUUAUUAUUAAAGAAUUUCGGUUAUCGAUGGGGAUGCGUUCCAUUAGGCAGUUGGUGAGGUAACGGCUCACCAAACCUUCGAUGGAUAGGGGUUCUGAGAGGAAGGUCCCCCACAUUGGAACUGAGACACGGUCCAAACUCCUACGGGAGGCAGCAGUGAGGAAUAUUGGUCAAUGGGCGCAGGCCUGAACCAGCCAAGUAGCGUGAAGGAUGACUGCCCUAUGGGUUGUAAACUUCUUUUAUAUGGGAAUAAAGUUUUCCACGUGUGGAAUUUUGUAUGUACCAUAUGAAUAAGGAUCGGCUAACUCCGUGCCAGCAGCCGCGGUAAUACGGAGGAUCCGAGCGUUAUCCGGAUUUAUUGGGUUUAAAGGGAGCGUAGGUGGACAGUUAAGUCAGUUGUGAAAGUUUGCGGCUCAACCGUAAAAUUGCAGUUGAUACUGGCUGUCUUGAGUACAGUAGAGGUGGGCGGAAUUCGUGGUGUAGCGGUGAAAUGCUUAGAUAUCACGAAGAACUCCGAUUGCGAAGGCAGCUCACUGGACUGCAACUGACACUGAUGCUCGAAAGUGUGGGUAUCAAACAGGAUUAGAUACCCUGGUAGUCCACACAGUAAACGAUGAAUACUCGCUGUUUGCGAUAUACAGUAAGCGGCCAAGCGAAAGCAUUAAGUAUUCCACCUGGGGAGUACGCCGGCAACGGUGAAACUCAAAGGAAUUGACGGGGGCCCGCACAAGCGGAGGAACAUGUGGUUUAAUUCGAUGAUACGCGAGGAACCUUACCCGGGCUUAAAUUGCAUUUGAAUAUAUUGGAAACAGUAUAGCCGUAAGGCAAAUGUGAAGGUGCUGCAUGGUUGUCGUCAGCUCGUGCCGUGAGGUGUCGGCUUAAGUGCCAUAACGAGCGCAACCCUUAUCUUUAGUUACUAACAGGUCAUGCUGAGGACUCUAGAGAGACUGCCGUCGUAAGAUGUGAGGAAGGUGGGGAUGACGUCAAAUCAGCACGGCCCUUACGUCCGGGGCUACACACGUGUUACAAUGGGGGGUACAGAAGGCAGCUACCUGGUGACAGGAUGCUAAUCCCAAAAGCCUCUCUCAGUUCGGAUCGAAGUCUGCAACCCGACUUCGUGAAGCUGGAUUCGCUAGUAAUCGCGCAUCAGCCAUGGCGCGGUGAAUACGUUCCCGGGCCUUGUACACACCGCCCGUCAAGCCAUGAAAGCCGGGGGUACCUGAAGUACGUAACCGCAAGGAGCGUCCUAGGGUAAAACUGGUAAUUGGGGCUAAGUCGUAACAAGGUAGCCGUACCGGAAGGUGCGGCUGGAACACCUCCUUUCU
rnacentral:rRNA from 1 species